AUUGAACGCUGGCGGCAGGCCUAACACAUGCAAGUCGAGCGAGCGGCGGACGGGUGAGGUAAGUACGGGGAUAUGCCCGAUAGAGGGGGAAAACUACUGGAAAAGGGGGCUAAUACCGCAUAGUAUCGGAAGAAUCCAGAUGGGAUUAGGUAGUAGGUGGGGUAAAGGCUCACCUAGGCGACGAUCUCUAGCUGGUCUGAGAGGAGGAUCAGCCACACUGGGACUGAGACACGGCCCAGACUCCUACGGGAGGCGGCAGUGGGGAAUAUUGCACAAUGGGCGCAAGCCUGAUGCAGCCAUGCCGCGUGUAUGAAGAAGGCCUUAGGGUUGUAAAGUACUUUCAGCGGGGAGGCGUUACCCGCAGAAGAAGCACCGGCUAACUCCGUGCCAGCAGCCGCGGUAAUAC
rnacentral:rRNA from 1 species